GAUGAGCAUGCGUCCCAUUAGCUAGUUGGUAAGGUAACGGCUUACCAAGGCUACGAUGGGUAGGGGUCCUGAGAGGGAGAUCCCCCACACUGGUACUGAGACACGGACCAGACUCCUACGGGAGGCAGCAGUGAGGAAUAUUGGACAAUGGGCGCAAGCCUGAUCCAGCCAUGCCGCGUGCAGGAUGACGGUCCUAUGGAUUGUAAACUGCUUUUGUACGGGAAGAAACACUCCUUCGUGAAGGAGCUUGACGGUACCGUAAGAAUAAGGAUCGGCUAACUCCGUGCCAGCAGCCGCGGUAAUACGGAGGAUCCAAGCGUUAUCCGGAAUCAUUGGGUUUAAAGGGUCCGUAGGCGGUUUAGUAAGUCAGUGGUGAAAGCCCAUCGCUCAACGGUGGAACGGCCAUUGAUACUGCUAGACUUGAAUUAUUAGGAAGUAACUAGAAUAUGUAGUGUAGCGGUGAAAUGCUUAGAGAUUACAUGGAAUACCAAUUGCGAAGGCAGGUUACUACUAAUGGAUUGACGCUGAU
rnacentral:rRNA from 1 species